CGGACGGGUGAGUAAUGUCUGGGAAACUGCCCGAUGGAGGGGGAUAACUACUGGAAACGGUAGCUAUACCGCAUAACGUCGCAAGACCAAAGAGGGGGACCUCCGGGCCUCGCGCCAUCAGAUGAACCCAUAUGGGAUUAGCUUGUAGGUAAGGUAACGGCUUACCUAGGCGACGAUCCCUAGCUGGUCUGAGAGGAUGAUCAGCCACACUGGGACUGAGACACGGCCCAG
rnacentral:rRNA from 1 species